GAGGGUGUAGCUCAGUGGUAGAAUGUGUGCUUAGCACGCAAGAGGUCCUGGGUUCAAUUCCCAGUACUUCCA
rnacentral:tRNA from 1 species